rnacentral:tRNA from 1 species
GUUAAUGUAGCUAAACAACAAAGCAAAACACUGAAAAUGCUUAGAUGGAUAUCGAAUCCCAUAAACA